rnacentral:rRNA from 1 species
CUCCUACGGGAGGCAGCAGUGGGGAAUUUUGGACAAUGGGCGAAAGCCUGAUCCAGCAAUGCCGCGUGCAGGAUGAAGGCCUUAGGGUUGUAAACUGCUUUUGUACGGAACGAAACGGCUCCUUCUAAUACAAGGGGCUAAUGACGGUACCGUAAGAAUAAGCACCGGCUAACUACGUGCCAGCAGCCGCGGUAAUACGUAGGGUGCGAGCGUUAAUCGGAAUUACUGGGCGUAAAGCGCGCGUAGGCGGUUUUCCAAGUUGGGGGUGAAAUCCCGGAGCUUAACUCCGGAACUGCCUCCAAAACUGGAUGACUAGAGGUCGAGAGAGGUAAGGGGAAUUCCUAGUGUAGAGGUGAAAUUCGUAGAUAUUAGGAAGAACACCAGUGGCGAAGGCGCCUUACUGGCUCGAUACUGACGCUGAGGUGCGAAAGUGUGGGGAGCAAACAGGAUUAGAUACCCUGGUAGUCCACGCCCUAAACGAUGCUCACUUGCUGUUCCCCUUUCGGGGGGAGUGGCGUAGGGAAACCGGUAAGUGAGCCACCUGGGGAGUACGCCCGCAAGGGUGAAACUCAAAGGAAUUGACGGA